CGUGAAAUUGUUGAAAGGGAAGCGCUCGCUACCAGACUUGGGUUCGGCGGUUCAACCGGGGCCACGCCCCGGGGCACUCCGCCGGCCCAGGCCAGCAUCAGCUUUCCGUCGGGGGCAAAGGCGUCGGGAAUGUGGCUCCCCUCCGGGGGAGUGUUAUAGCCCGGCGUGUCAUACCCUUCGGGGGGCUGAGGUACGCGCUUCUGCAAGGAUG
rnacentral:rRNA from 1 species